ensembl:miRNA mir20b microRNA 20b
GAGUUUGUCCUGGCAGUUCCAAAGUGCUCACAGUGCAGGUAGUGCCAGUGGAUCUACUGCAAUGUCUGCACUUCAAGUAUUGCCGGACGCCUUC